UAGUUUAAAUCGUUCGCGCGUCUAAGAGAAAUGAGAGAAAUGUUUAUUUGCCCUUUAAAUUCUACAUGGCGAGAAAUAUCGCUACCCUUUAGAUUACAGCCAACCCAUCCCGUCCGGAGAUCGAUCUUCAACGUUGGAGGAAACGCCGAAGCAAUUCCGUAAAA